rnacentral:rRNA from 1 species
AUGAGUGUCUUGAGCUGGAACUGCCGGGGGCUUGGGAACCUCGAGGCAGUUCGGAAGCUUCGCAGCAUUGUGAAGCAAGAAGGACCCACUCUACUCUUUGUAAUGGAAACAAAAAUCAGAGCGAAACGAGUAGAGGAUUUAGAGCACUCUCUAGGCUUUGGAGGAUGCUUUGCUGUGGACAGUGCUGGCCUUAGUGGCGCUAUUGGUCUAUUUUGGUCUCGGGAUGUUAUUGUGGAGUUGAAAAACUUUAGU